GCGUGAAAUAAUGUGAAUUUGCAGGACACAUUGAACAUCGACAUCUUGAACGCAUAUUGCGGCUCCGGGUCACUCCCGAGGCCACGUCUGUCUGAGGGUCGGCGAAUAGCACUCGCAAGCGCAAGGCUUGCGCCUUGGCCCGUCGGUUGAUGCGGUGGUCAAUCGUCGAGCCCGAGAGAAAGCCACGGGUGUUGGACGUUUCUAAACUCACCCUUGAAUCUUCUUCCUUUGCGAUGCUUUUGUGCACCUGCGAUGGGAGUCGCUGCUCGAUUUGGCUUGUUGGUCGAGCAACGGGGGCCCCCAGCGCUCUCGUCGCAAGCUCCAUGGUGUGCGAAGGCGUUUUGCUUAGGCUAGAGGAGGGUUCGUAUAUAAUAAUAAUAAGGGAGAGCGAGGGAAAGCACUCGGCGGUGGAAAGCGACAAAGUAAGUCUCCGGCAGUAGGUAGUAAAAGAAAGCCAGCUCGGGCCGUUCUUUUCCCUAGGGCAAAGAGAGAGACGAAACGAAAAA
rnacentral:rRNA from 1 species